AUUUGCCUUUGGCCUGUUGCUACCUGCCCUUAUAAAAAGUCCCUCCCCAGCUUUCCUGUAGGCUCCCUUCAGGUACUGGAAGGCUGCUAUAACAUCCCCUCAGAGACUUCUCUUCUCCAGACUGAAAAGCCCCAGCUUUCUCAACCUGUCCUUGUGGGACAUCUUCAUGGCCCUCCUCUGGAUCCAAUCCAACAGCUCGAUGUGCUCUUGUGGUGGGGUUCCAGACCUGGAUGCAGUACUCCAAGUGGGGUCUCACAAGAGCAGAGUAGAGGGGCAGAAUCACCUCUCUCAACCUGCUGGUCACGCUUCUCUUGAUGCAAUCCAGGAUAUGAUUGGCCUUCUGGGCUGCAAGUGCACAUUUCUGGCUUAUAUUGAGUCUUUCAUCAGCCAACACCCCCACAUCCUUCUCCUCAGGGCUGCUCUCAAGCCAUUCUCCACCCAAACUGUAUCUGUGCUUGUGAUUGCCAAUUACUAAUUCAUCUUGGUCCCGAGUCCCUCUGAGCACACCAGGCACUGUUCCCAUGGCCAUCUCUCCUGCUCUGUGGCAUGGGGACCCAAACAUGUCCAUAUGCUCUUCCUCACCCUGCUCACACACCCAGAGUGAGACUUUCUCACAGGGCCGUGGUGAGCAGUGCGGCACCGGCUGUCAUCACACAAACGAGCUGUUUUUACUUGUGACCAACCAAGUGCUUUUAACCUACAUCCCCAAAGCCAGCAGGACACUCCCAAUCUGUCAAUCAGACCAUAAUGCCUCAUACCUACCAGGCUUGUUUUACUUUCAUCUUUGCCCGGCUUCCUUUUUGAUGGUAUGGUAAACACAAGUGAAAUGCCUUGAGAGCAGCAGUCGGCAGAGACAGCAAGAACUGUGCUGCAGUCUGCACAUAAGCUAUAACACAGAGCAAAGGGAAAAUGCAUGUCUCAGAAGUGGUUUCACUUUCAUGCAGAUAUCCGACUCCUACAGCCAGUUCUGAUCAGUAGCAACGUUUUGAGAGAGGUUUCUUAUUCCAUUUUUUGAUCCUUUCUGUCCCUCCUAUUGAGUCCUUUGUUAUUUUACAGGUUGGACUGCAAGUUUCUCACACAAGACUGAAAAGACAGAAAUAAAUGCAAAGAUGAACAUGAAUAGGCUUCACUUGGAAUUAAAAUGCAAAAGGGAACAAGCUAUUUUUCCCGAUCAAAUACUGGGAACUAUUUCAAAUUCUGUUUUCUUCCUGUUUUGGCAUUACAACACGCUUUCGAGUGAUACAUGUUCGUUAGAUGUUUCUCCUUAACGUCUCCCCAACUUGGAUCGAGCUGAAACAAACAGGAGCUGAGGUUUUGCUUGUUUGUUUGUUUGUUUUCCCGUGGCACAUCAAAAAUGCAGUGCAAGCUUUAAUGACUGUCUGUUAUAACAUGCCUUUUGGAGGAUGGCAGGCAUUUAUAGGGGAAUGAGGCAAUUAAUAUGUUACUUAGGCAUGCAAAGACAAGUUAGAGGCAGAUGUCUUUCUUCCCUUGAUACAGCAACACAGCAUUAAAACAAUGACUUCUUAAAUCUACUUUUUUUUUACUGUCUAUUUGUGUUCACAGGUUGCUUGUUUAAGUCAAAGCUUCAGGAGAUCACCAUAUUUUCAGGACCAGUAAUUUCUGUCUCAAGCUCACUGUCUGGAGCCAAGAACAUCUGUCACUCAUCAGAGACCCCGUGAGGCUUCAUGUCCCCUUGUAACACCAUCCCAGGCCUUUAUGCAGUGCCUGAGCUCUCUGCGUGAGGCUGUGUGAUGGAGGCCAGGAGGCCGGUUCGGCCCUGCGGCGGAUGACAGCAUCAGCUCUCCAGAUACCAAUAUGGGACCAUUCUCCAAAACAUUUUGUGUUUGGCUGAGUGUGUGAGCUUGCAGGCAAAAGCUUCUCCUCUGCCGCUCUGUUUCUUGUACAUAUCAACAUGGACAGCUUCAUUUUCUCUGUGGUGAAAUAAGCUAUUUGAAAGCCCUGAGAAUUCAGUGGGAGCGGGGUUGGGGCCUGGUAUCCCAGCUUGUUUUAGUAGAAAAAUUUCUUUGGUUAGGAAAAUCGUCUUCUCCAAGAGAGUGGUGAUGCAGUGGCACAGCUGCCCAGGGAGUGGUGGGGUCACCAUCCCUGGAGGUGUUCAAGAACCGUGGAGAUGUGGCACUGAGGGACGUGGGCAGUGGGCAUGGUGGGGGUGGGCUGGGGUUGGCCUUGGGGAUCUCGGAGGUCUUUUCCAACCUGAAUAAUUCUACGAUUCUGUGAAAAGCAACAGUUGAGCUUGGGAGGAGAGAGCCUUUCACUGGGUGUCCUGCUGAGCUGUCCUGGGGAAGUCCCCAAAGUCCUGAGCUGCACAAGGGAUGGGGAAAAGGAUGGAGGUGACAGUGAGCAGAGAGAUGAUGAACACAUGACUCAAGGACAAAGUGGCUUCAGAAAAG
ensembl:lncRNA